rnacentral:misc_RNA from 1 species
AACGCACAUUGCGCCCCUUGGUAUUCCGAAGGGCAUGCCUGUUCGAGCGUCAUUAUCACCCCUCAAAUCUUCGGAUUUGGUGUUGGAUGGGAAGGUUCUACUCUUCCAUCCUAAAGAUAUUGACCGUGUCUAGUUAAACCCUUGGUACAUUGAGCUUCUCGGAGCAUGUAUUAGAGUGGUUGACUUGACCGAUCUUCCCAGUUGGACUUUGGUUCAACUAUUUUUCAAGAUUGACCUCGGAUCAGGUAGGAUUACCCGCUGAACUUAA